rnacentral:rRNA from 1 species
UGGGUAACCUGCCUCAAAGAGGGGAAUAGCCUCCCGAAAGGGAGAUUAAUACCGCAUAAUAUGUUUUAGUCGCAUGACUUAAACAUCAAAGGAUUUUCUUUUAGAAAUUCCACUUUGAGAUGGACCCGCGGCGCAUUAGCUAGUUGGUGAGGUAACGGCUCACCAAGGCAACGAUGCGUAGCCGACCUGAGAGGGUNAUCGGCCACAUUGGAACUGAGGCACGGUCCAGACUCCGUAGGGAGG